UACGAAGGGUGCAAACGUUGCUCGGAAUCAUUGGGCGUAAAGCGCACGUAGGCGGCUUUGCAAGUCGGAUGUGAAAUCCCGUGGCUCAACCAUGGACGUGCAUUCGAAACUGCGAAGCUUGAGUAUGGAAGAGGGUCGCGGAAUUCCCGGUGUAGAGGUGAAAUUCGUAGAUAUCGGGAGGAACACCAGUGGCGAAGGCGGCGACCUGGGCCAAUACUGACGCUGAGGUGCGAAAGCGUGGGGAGCAAACAGG
rnacentral:rRNA from 1 species